AAAAUCUUAUAUUCAUUUAAAUUUCAUUAUUGCGCUUACACGAAGAAGAAAUGCUAGAAAUCAACAGAUGAUGAAAAAUUUAUUCCUAUCGCAUUUCUUAUUUUUAAAAUAACAGAGCGAGUUUUAAUUUGUAAAAUUAGUCAUGGAUCUCUGACUAUUAACUUUCGAAUUCCAGCAAUCCAUGGACCCCACACACAUUAAGAAUCUCUGGCGUGAAAUAUUCUUGACACCAUUGAAACGAACGAGCUCGUCUUAUUAUUAUUAUAAAUGGGAAUCGCGAAAUUUUCGACUCAGUUCUCCCAUCCAAUGUAAUUUUAUAUUUUUCUAUGCGCUUGUAUUUGAUGAGCUUCAUCGAGCGAUUCUUCGAGCUUUCAUGUAUAUCGUAAUUCCUCGCAGUUCGACGAACUAAAAUUGGAUGGGAAGAUUCUAUCUGGCACGUAUCGCGGAUUGUAUCUCUGGUUAUGUCGAACCGCACUCCCAUAUAAAUAGAAACGCCACUAUGUCCUGUUAUCGAUCUUUUGAGCUCUGGUUCGACCAAGGAUGACCGUGCACAUGACAAAAUGGUUAUAGAGUGAAAAAUAUUCCUAGAAAUUCCUAGAAAAAAUCACGAAUAUUGAACAUAUGCCAAACAUAUGGCAAAUUAUUUGCGAUCAAUGGUCAACUGAGUUAUAAAAGGCGAAUUAUCUCAGCUCAAGUAACGAGAGUUCGAGAGGAAACAAUCAAUUUCAACGAGAUGCAGCGGAUAAACAUCAUCAACUUGCAAGAGGUCUUUUGAAGGAGGCGUUGGUUCUUCCAUCGUUCUCGACGGAAGAACAGCUGGGGACCUUCGACUCCCAACUGUUAUACGUAAUCGAUGUCGACUGACUUUCUCUCUCGUGGGCCCGCCAGACGAGAGCGAUGGAUAGGAGAGAACUGGUCGCUUUACCAAUCUCGUAUUUCCAGGCAUACGUUAAA